rnacentral:rRNA from 1 species
AUGCAAGUCGAACGAGGGUGCUUGCACCCUAGUGGCGAACGGGUGAGUAACACGUAGGUAACCUGCCCUUAAGCUUGGGAUACCCAGAGGAAACUUUGGCUAAUACCGGAUAACAACAGAAGAGGCAUCUCGUUCAGUUUGAAAGGCCCUUUACGGGGUCACUUGAGGAUGGACCUGCGGCGCAUUAGCUAGUUGGUGAGAUAACAGCCCACCAAGGCGAGGAUGCGUAGCCGACCUGAGAGGGUGAUCGGCCACAUUGGAACUGAGACACGGUCCAAACGUCCUACGGGAGGCAGCAGUAAGAGUUUUCGGCAAUGGGGGAAACCCUGACCGAGCAACGCCGCGUGAGUGAUCGACGGCCCUAUGGGUUGUAAAGCUCUGUUGUAAGGGACGAAUGAUUCGCUUAGGAAAUGAAGCGGAUUUGACGGUACCUUACCAGAAAGCCACGGCUAACUACGUGCCAGCAGCGGC